AAAGAGAGAGAGAGAUGCAGAGCAUGUGAAGAGCAGGGGCAACGCGAGGAACGGUAUUAAGAACCGCUUUAAUCAGAAUCAAA